rnacentral:rRNA from 1 species
UACAGAGGGUGCAAGCGUUGUUCGGAAUUAUUGGGCGUAAAGCGCGUGUAGGCGGCUUUGCAAGUCGGGUGUGAAAGCCCUCAGCUCAACUGAGGAAGUGCGCCCGAAACUGCAGAGCUUGAGUGCCGGAGAGGGUGGCGGAAUUCCCCAAGUAGAGGUGAAAUUCGUAAGAUAUGGGGAGGAACACCGGUGGGCGAAGGCGGCCCGACC